rnacentral:rRNA from 1 species
GAUGAACGCUGGCGGCGUGCCUAAUACAUGCAAGUCGAGCGAACGGACGAGAAGCUUGCUUCUCUGAUGUUAGCGGCGGACGGGUGAGUAACACGUGGAUAACCUACCUAUAAGACUGGGAUAACUUCGGGAAACCGGAGCUAAUACCGGAUAAUAUUUUGAACCGCAUGGUUCAAAAGUGAAAGACGGUCUUGCUGUCACUUAUAGAUGGAUCCGCGCUGCAUUAGCUAGUUGGUAAGGUAACGGCUUACCAAGGCAACGAUGCAUAGCCGACCUGAGAGGGUGAUCGGCCACACUGGAACUGAGACACGGUCCAGACUCCUACGGGAGGCAGCAGUAGGGAAUCUUCCGCAAUGGGCGAAAGCCUGACGGAGCAACGCCGCGUGAGUGAUGAAGGUCUUCGGAUCGUAAAACUCUGUUAUUAGGGAAGAACAUAUGUGUAAGUAACUGUGCACAUCUUGACGGUACCUAAUCAGAAAGCCACGGCUAACUACGUGCCAGCAGCCGCGGUAAUACGUAGGUGGCAAGCGUUAUCCGGAAUUAUUGGGCGUAAAGCGCGCGUAGGCGGUUUUUUAAGUCUGAUGUGAAAGCCCACGGCUCAACCGUGGAGGGUCAUUGGAAACUGGAAAACUUGAGUGCAGAAGAGGAAAGUGGAAUUCCAUGUGUAGCGGUGAAAUGCGCAGAGAUAUGGAGGAACACCUGUGGCGAAGGCGACUUUCUGGUCUGUAACUGACGCUGAUGUGCGAAAGCGUGGGGAUCAAACAGGAUUAGAUACCCUGGUAGUCCACGCCGUAAACGAUGAGUGCUAAGUGUUAGGGGGUUUCCGCCCCUUAGUGCUGCAGCUAACGCAUUAAGCACUCCGCCUGGGGAGUACGACCGCAAGGUUGAAACUCAAAGGAAUUGACGGGGACCCGCACAAGCGGUGGAGCAUGUGGUUUAAUUCGAAGCAACGCGAAGAACCUUACCAAAUCUUGACAUCCUUUGACAACUCUAGAGAUAGAGCUUUCCCCUUCGGGGGACAAAGUGACAGGUGGUGCAUGGUUGUCGUCAGCUCGUGUCGUGAGAUGUUGGGUUAAGUCCCGCAACGAGCGCAACCCUUAAGCUUAGUUGCCAUCAUUAAGUUGGGCACUCUAAGUUGACUGCCGGUGACAAACCGGAGGAAGGUGGGGAUGACGUCAAAUCAUCAUGCCCCUUAUGAUUUGGGCUACACACGUGCUACAAUGGGCAAUACAAAGGGCAGCGAAACCGCGAGGUCAAGCAAAUCCCAUAAAGUUGUUCUCAGUUCGGAUUGUAGUCUGCAACUCGACUACAUGAAGCUGGAAUCGCUAGUAAUCGUAGAUCAGCAUGCUACGGUGAAUACGUUCCCGGGUCU